ensembl:snoRNA
CUUCCCAUUUAUUUGCUGCUGUAGUCUGUCAGUGACAUGAGCNGUUAUACGCGUGGGAUACAGUAGUGUUGGGCCAUUGUACACUGAGAUGAAGUGGCUACGUCAUCUCUUCUGCAUGGUCUGGACAUGU